rnacentral:rRNA from 1 species
GACGAACGCUGGCGGCGUGCUUAACACAUGCAAGUCGAACGGAAAGGCCCUGCUUUUGUGGGGUGCUCGAGUGGCGAACGGGUGAGUAACACGUGAGUAACCUGCCCUUGACUUUGGGAUAACUUCAGGAAACUGGGGCUAAUACCGGAUAGGAGCUCCUGCUGCAUGGUGGGGGUUGGAAAGUUUCGGCGGUUGGGGAUGGACUCGCGGCUUAUCAGCUUGUUGGUGGGGUAGUGGCUUACCAAGGCUUUGACGGGUAGCCGGCCUGAGAGGGUGACCGGCCACAUUGGGACUGAGAUACGGCCCAGACUACUACGGGAGGCAGCAGUGGGGAAUAUUGCACAAUGGGCUGAAGCCUGAUGCAGCAACGCCGCGUGCGGGAUGACGGACUUCGGUUUGUAAACCGCUUUCGCCUGUGACGAAGCGUGAGUGACGGUAAUGGGUAAAGAAGCACCGGCUAACUACGUG